UGUUGGAUUGUAGCAUGGCUUGGAGAAC
rnacentral:piRNA from 1 species